GUACGGAGGGAGCUAGCGUUGUUCGGAAUUACUGGGCGUAAAGCGCGCGUAGGCGGUUUCUCAAGUCAGAGGUGAAAGCCCGGGGCUCAACCCCGGAACUGCCUUUGAAACUAGGAGACUGGAAUCUUGGAGAGGUCAGUGGAAUUCCGAGUGUAGAGGUGAAAUUCGUAGAUAUUCGGAAGAACACCAGUGGCGAAGGCGACUGACUGGACAAGUAUUGACGCUGAGGUGCGAAAGCGUGGGGAGCAAACAGG
rnacentral:rRNA from 1 species